CGCGAUUUUCGUCCAUCGGAUCUCUACCACGCGACGUUCUCCCCUCCUUCCUUUCCUCUCCAUUGCUCGAACUCUCUGGAUCCCACCCUGCCGCCUCCACCUUCCGUCCACCUCUCCUCCUCCGGCGCCGCUGCCUGCUCCUCGCUCAGGCUGCUGGCCUCCGCAUCUACCAACGGCAGCGCCCGUCGCCACCUUCCCCGACGCAGCAUCCCAUCUCUCCCCGCGAGCCACCUCUCGCUCCUCCUUACAUCGUGCUCGGUGCCACCGGCCGAUGUGCACCGCGCCGGCUGCAUUUUACAGCCUUACGCCUCCACAAGAGAAGGGCCGGAGCUGCCCUGCGCGGUUGAGGAGGGAGCGGCCGGGGCCAGGCAGGUCUGACCCCCUCUGCCCCCGCCACUCUACCAAAUCCCUCUGCCUUCCCUCGGCACUCCACAAGAUUGAGAAGGUGAGGACGAUUCCUAUUUGGAUCAUUUCUCACCUCAAAAUACUCUCCAAUUUGGAUCAUUUCUUUUCUUUCUUCUGAGUGAAAGUAAGUCAGAUGAUAGGCAGUUCUACAUAAGUACUCCGACCAAGAUGCUGCAGCUGAGAACGGACUCUGCUAACGACCGAGUGGCUUGGAUUGAAGCCCUGGUAUCUUCCCGAGCUAAAUCUUCUCCUAAUGGGGGUUUAUUAGACCAGAAUGAUGCAUCAUUUUCUACAGUGAGGCUAAGGAAUCAUUUGCACGCAGAAGGCCUUGGUGAGGAAGCUCGACCCAGACUCUGAACAGAUUGUCCAUUCAGAAUUCUCUCAGUAUUAUGCACAGAUGAAACAACACUGUGAAGAAUAUUUGAGCUUUCUCGGCAGUCUUUGACGACAGCAUGAGGCACUUAAUGCAGAUGAUACUGCUAAUGUCAAAAAGCCUCAUCUGCACUUGAUGAAACCUGAGUACUCCUACUCUGAACCUGGAAAAUGUAGUGGUGCUUGAUUUUUUUUUUAAUUCUCUGCUUUCCUUUAUUGGUUAUGCUUGCUUUAUUAUCCUUUUUUGCAUUCAUGAUGCAUGUUUUCCCCCUAUACUAUCCUGCCAAAAUGCCGUGUGCCAUAUGUUUCAGCUGAGCAUAAAUGCUGAAUAACAUGUGGGCUUAAAUUAAAAUUAACUCCAUCUCCAAAAGAUGUAUGGUCGCUGCUCUUUGUUUUUUCUGAUUUGUUUUGUCAAGGUUUUCUUUUCCCUUAAGCUUUAAUAUGUGUGCUUACUGUUAACUUUUCAAUCAGAGAGGAGCAACAUAGAAUGUUCUGAUGAUGUUGGGCGACAAGAGUUAGAUAAAUUUUCAGAUGAAGAUGACUAGCAUUUCUAUGAUACAAGGCUGCAAGUCCUGAAUGAAAAAAAAUCAAAUUCUGGCAACUUAAAGAUCCUAUGCGAUGACGAUAAAUUUGUAGAACCAAGGGCUGGUAUGGGAAAUAGUGGGUGUUUAUCGCUGUCUUCAAAACGCCGCACAAAGUUACCCGAGCCAGCUAAGAAGGAAAAGGGUCUUAGUCUUUGGUCAAUGCUAUGGAUGCUGUGGAAUUAUGCCAACAACAUCCAUAUUUAUUCUUUUGACGGAUGUUAUGAUUAUAAUCAUGGUGAUGUGUGUUAUCAUGUAACAUGCUAUUUUUAUUAUUUUCUAUAUAUAUGUUCAUGGUUUCAAUGUUA